GACGAACGCUGGCGGCGUGCUUAACACAUGCAAGUCGAACGGAAAGGCCUGCUUUCCCUUGUGGAUUGCGGGUACUCGAAUGGCGAACGGGUGAGUAACACGUGAGUGAUCUGCCCCCAACUUGGGUAUAAGCCUGGGAAACUGGGUCUAAUUCCCGAUAGGACUGCAGGGUGGUGCCUGUGGUGGAAAACGAUUUUCUAGUGGUUGGGGAUGAGCUCGCGGCCUAUCAGCUUGUUGGUGGGGUAAUGGCCUACCAAGGCGGCGACGGGUAGCCGGCCUGAGAGGGUGGACGGCCACAUUGGGACUGAGAUACGGCCCAGACUCCUACGGGAGGCAGCAGUGGGGAAUAGUGCACAAUGGGCGGAAGCCUGAUGCAGCGACGCCGCGUGGGGGAUGACGGCCUUCGGGUUGUAAACUCCUUUCGACCGCGAGGAAGCCACCUGGUUGGAAGGGUGGUGACGGUAGUGGUAGAAGAAGCACCGGCUAACUACGUG
rnacentral:rRNA from 1 species